AUUGAACGCUGGCGGCAGGCCUAACACAUGCAAGUCGAGCGGAUGAGGGGAGCUUGCUCCUGGAUUCAGCGGCGGACGGGUGAGUAAUGCCUAGGAAUCUGCCUGGUAGUGGGGGAUAACGUCCGGAAACGGGCGCUAAUACCGCAUACGUCCUGAGGGAGAAAGUGGGGGAUCUUCGGACCUCACGCUAUCAGAUGAGCCUAGGUCGGAUUAGCUAGUUGGUGGGGUAAAGGCCUACCAAGGCGACGAUCCGUAACUGGUCUGAGAGGACGAUCAGUCACACUGGAACUGAGACACGGUCCAGACUCCUACGGGAGGCAGCAGUGGGGAAUAUUGGACAAUGGGCGAAAGCCUGAUCCAGCCAUGCCGCGUGUGUGAAGAAGGUCUUCGGAUUGUAAAGCACUUUAAGUUGGGAGGAAGGGCAGUAAGUUAAUACCUUGCUGUUUUGACGUUACCAACAGAAUAAGCACCGGCUAACUUCGUG
rnacentral:rRNA from 1 species